AAAAUACGAAUUAUUCAAGGAAAAGCUUCUAACUUAUUCCUUAAGCGGCGCACCUCCGUUUGUAUUUUA
rnacentral:tRNA from 1 species